AGCGAACGCUGGCGGCAGGCCUAACACAUGCAAGUCGAACGAACCCCUCGGGGUUAGUGGCGGACGGGUGAGUAACACGUGGGAACGUGCCUUUAGGUUCGGAAUAACUCAGGGAAACUUGUGCUAAUACCGAAUGUGCCCUUCGGGGGAAAGAUUUAUCGCCUUUAGAGCGGCCCGCGUCUGAUUAGCUAGUUGGUGAGGUAAAGGCUCACCAAGGCUACGAUCAGUAGCUGGUCUGAGAGGAUGACCAGCCACAUUGGGACUGAGACACGGCCCAAACUCCUACGGGAGGCAGCAGUGGGGAAUCUUGCGCAAUGGGCGAAAGCCUGACGCAGCCAUGCCGCGUGGAUGAUGAAGGUCUUAGGAUUGUAAAAUCCUUUCACCGGUGAAGAUAAUGACUGUAGCCGGAGAAGAAGCCCCGGCUAACUUCGUGCCAGCCGCCGCUGUAACAC
rnacentral:rRNA from 1 species